rnacentral:rRNA from 1 species
CCUACGGGUGGCAGCAGUGGGGAAUAUUGCACAAUGGGGGAAACCCUGAUGCAGCGACGCCGCGUGAGUGAAGAAGUAAUUCGUUGUGUAAAGCUCUAUCAGCAGGGAAGAAAAUGACGGUACCUGCGUAAGAAGCCCCGGCUACCUACGUACCAGCCGCUGCGGUCAUACGUAGGUGGCAAGCGUUAUCCGGAUUUACUGGGUGUAAAGGGAGCGUAGACGGCAGUGCAAGUCUGGAGUGAAAGGCGGGGGCUCAACCCCCGGACUGCUAUUGAAACUGUAGGGCUGGAGUGCAGGAGAGGUCAGUGGAAUUCGUAGUGUAGCGGUGAAAUGCGUAGAUAUUAGGAGGAACACCAGUGGCGAAGGCGGCUUACUGGACUGUAACUGACGUUGAGGCUCGAAAGCGUGGGGAGCAAACAGGAUUAGAUACCCCGGUAGUC